rnacentral:lncRNA from 1 species
GCUUGAUUUAGGAGGAGUUUUUAAAUGUUUUCAAUGUUAUUAUGUAGUAAACGGCACUAUUAUGAAGCUACUAGUCAUUCCAUAAGCGUCUUAAAGGACUGCUCUGUGUAACACUGUGACUGCCGUGUGUGCUUAGACACGUAACGUAGUUUCCUCAGUGGAUAGCACUCAAUCUAUUCCUUAGUGAUAUUGUAACAAUACUGCCAUUCCCUCCUACUGCACUGCCCAAGGUGUGUGUAGCACAAACAGUUCUCAUUACAAAGGACCAACUCAGCACCGAAAAGCUAUGCAUAGGAUAAGAACGACAGAAAGCACGAGGUGGAUCACACAGCAUUUUGUCAAGCACUGUGCAAUAUACCACAUUUAUCCCCACUGCAGCAGACCACCACUUCACCGAAGGGCAGCCUCUGAUUUCACACUGCAUCUAGCCUUUGCUCCCACCAGCCUCUGUGGUUCCUUCUCACUCCCAGGCCAGAGAGAGUAGGAAUGCUCUGAAGGGGA